UCAGAGAGACUAGGACAGUUACUGCA
rnacentral:piRNA from 1 species